UGGAAGGCCACUUCCCUGUGCCCCCAACAGGAGAGGGCAGGAGCAGCUGGUGUGGCCCCAUGACCCAAGCCUGAAAAAUGACAAGGUGUUAGACCCUUGGGACCUCCCAGGGUCAGCAGCCUUGGCUUUGUGCCCCACCUGGCCCUGGGUCCUGGUAGGCCUCAAUUACUCCCCUGGGAAGGGAAGAGUAUCUCUCUAAUGGCAUAAUAGCCUGAGUCUCCUUCAAGCCCCAAGUUUCUGCCCAGGCCCUGGCAGCCUUGGAGUCUUGCAAAACUCUGUUCUACCAAUCCUGCCCUCGAUAAUCUGCUGUCCACAGAAAUACAGGGUAGGACUCCGAAUCCCAGGGCAUGAGAGUGGGCAGGGGUCUCAGAGACUGUGACAUACAGUCCGAGGCAGAAAUAGGACCUAGAAAGCAGAAACAACUUGCCCAAGGUCACAUAAGAAAUCCAGAAUUAAUGCCAACUUGCUGUGGGAGUUGGUCCAGUUGGGCAGACUUGUAGGCCCAGCAUUUAAGAGGGGUUGGGGGAGAAAGACAGGUAGGAAGAAACUGAGGUACCCAGGUGUUCCAGCAGCCAGAGAACCUCCUUCCAGCAUGGCCACCUAAAGGACUCUGACCUCAGACAACUUUGCUCCCAAGCAGAGGGGUUAGAAACGGACAAAGGGAGUAUCCAAGAACAUUGAGAUCAGGAGGGAUCUAUCACCCUAGAUCAUAAAUAGCAAGGAAUUCAUUUCCAAACUACAGCUACACAGACAUGGCAGGGGCUGCUAGCAACAGGGCACCCUCCCCCCCCAGAGCCAAAAAUUACCACUCAUGCAUAUCCCAUCAGUCUUCCAGGAAGAGCCGCAGCCCCUGGGUGAGCAGUGAGGCCCUGUGUAUGAACCUCAGCCCCUUCCCCUUGCCCAGGCUCAGAAUCUGCAAUUUUUCUGGGCAUGUCUAGGAAUCCCUUGCAACCAAAGGCAACCGCCUUAUCUAAGCUUUCAGUCCACGCUCGUAGAUGAGAUCUAUCACUGCCCUCACUAUUCUGCCUCUCUGCCAUGAUAACAUUCAUCUGGUGGACUGUUUGAUGCUUAAGCUUGCUUUGGUGGCUGAUAUCAGCUGUGAUGGAUGGAUCCCUUUUUCUUUUCCCCACUCCAGUCUCCAGCAAUUAGAAGUGAAAUCUGAACUCAUCAUUACAGCCAACUGGUCUACCCUGCCAGCUUUCACCUCGUAGCCAUAUAGUGAUCCUCAGCGUGAACAGUCAGGUCCGUACCUUCUGAAGAUUCUGAACACCAUUCUGGACAAGGCACGCCAGGAGCACAGUCUGCAGCACCCACCAGGCAGCUAUGUACCAAGCUUGCACCUUGCCUCACUCGAGACAGGCCCCAGACUUAUCUAGUGACCUGGGAACUUGACAGCCUUUUGGCAGCCAAUAAAUCUCUCUCGCAAGGUCAA